rnacentral:rRNA from 1 species
GAAUUUUGGACAAUGGGCGCAAGCCUGAUCCAGCAAUGCCGCGUGCAGGAAGAAGGCCUUCGGGUUGUAAACUGCUUUUGUACGGAACGAAAAGGCUCUGGUUAAUACCUGGGUCACAUGACGGUACCGUAAGCAUAAGCACCGGCUAACUCCGUCCCCGCAGCCGCGGUAAUACGUAGGGUGCAAGCGUUAAUCGGAAUUACUGGGCGUAAAGCGUGCGCAGGCGGUUUUGUAAGACAGGCGUGAAAUCCCCGGGCUUAACCUGGGAAUUGCGCUUGUGACUGCAAGGCUGGAGUGCGGCAGAGGGGGAUGGAAUUCCGCGUGUAGCAGUGAAAUGCGUAGAUAUGCGGAGGAACACCAAUGGCGAAGGCAAUCCCCUGGGCCUGUACUGACGCUCAUGCACGAAAGCGUGGGGAGCAAACAGG